AAAGUUUAGGCAUCGGGGGCGAGCGGUCGCCGUAAGGCGACAGCGGCAGACGGCUGAGUAACACGUAGGAACGUACCUUUUGGCGGGGAAUAGCUUCGAGAAAUCGGAGGUAAUUCCGCAUGGUCCCUUCGGGGUAAAGGAUGUAACUAUCCACCAAAAGAGCGGCCUGCGGCCUAUCAGCUUGUUGGUAGGGUAAUGGCCUACCAAGGCUAAGACGGGUAGGGGGUGUGAGAGCAUGAUCCCCCAGAAUGGAACUGAGAUACGGUCCAUACACCUACGGGUGGCAGCAACCGGGAAUCUUGCGCAAUGGGCGAAAGCCUGACGCAGCGACACCGCGUGGAGGAUGAAGGCCUUCGGGUCGUAAACUCCUCUCUAAUAAUCCAUUGGAUUAUUAGUCAAAAAGCACCGGCUAACUACGUGCCAGCAGCUGCGGUAAUACGUAGGGUGCGAGCGUUGUCCGGAUUUACUGGGCGUAAAGAGUCUGUAGGCGGAUAAGUAGGUUAUUGGUUAAAUCCUCCGGCUCAACUGGAGAAAAGCCGAUAAUACCGCUUGUCUAGUCCUCGAGAGGGGGUGCUGGAACUUACUGUGUAGGGGUGAAAUCCGUUGAUACAGUAAGGAACACCAACGGCGAAGGCGAGCACCUGGAUCGAUGGAGACGCUGAGAGACGAAAGCUAGGGUAGCAAAUCGGAUUAGAGACCCGAGUAGUCCUAGCCCUAAAUGAUCCCUGCUAGAUGGUCGGUUUUGAUUUAUUCGGACUGACUGUCGAAGGUAACCCAUUAAGCAGGGCGCCUGGGGAGUAUGGCCGCAAGGCUGAAACUCAAAGGAAUUGGCGGGGAGGCGCACAACCAGUGGAGCAUGUGGUUCAAUUCGAUACGAAGCGCUGAACCUUACCUAGGCUUGACAUCCUAUUUAUGUUUCUUCAGAAAUGAAGAUUCUCAACGAUAGGACAGCUGGUGCAUGGCUGUCGUCAGCUCGUGUCGUGAGAUGUUCUCUUCAGUGAGGUAACGAGCGCAACCCCUGUCCCGUGUUACUUGUGUCACGGGAAACUGCUUCGGCAUGUGCCGAAGAGGAAGGAAGGGACGACGUCAAGUCAGCAUGUCGCUUAUGUCUAGGGCUACACACAUCCUACAAUGGAGCCGACAAUGGGUCGCCAAACCGCGAGGUGGAGCUAAUCCCACCAAACGGCUUCUCAGUGGGGAUUGCAGGCUGCAACUCGCCUGCAUGAACUUGGAAUUGGUAGUAAUCGGAGAUCAGCAGGCUCCGGUGAAUACGUUCUCGCCUCUUGCACACACUGCCCGUCAAGUCAGCAAAGUCAAGGGUGCCUGAAGGCUCCGCUCGUCGGGGACCAAGGCGAACUUGGCGAUGAGGGCUAAGUCGUAACAAGGUAUCCGUUCUGGAAGGAGCGGAUG
rnacentral:rRNA from 1 species